rnacentral:rRNA from 1 species
AUGAAGCUGGAAUUGCUGUAAUGGCAGGUCAGCAUACUGCCGUGAAUACGUUCCCGGGCCCUUGUACACACCGCCCGUCACACCAUGAGAGUUGGGAAUACCCGAAGCCUGUGAGCUAACUUAUAGAGGCAGCAGUCGAAGGUAGAAUCAAUGAUUGGGGUGAAGUCGUAACAAGGUAAC